UUUUUACAUGAUCUAACAAAGUCAUAUUGAUGUUUAUGAUUAUUGCGUUCAAAAUAUGUGAAUUCCCUUUGUAUUCUACAUUCACUUGUGCUUUACCUAUUACUUGUAUCAUCUUUCCAUUGUAACCUGAUAACUUUAUGUUGGACUUCAUAAUAUUUUUAAUACCUGUUUUCUCAAUCAUGUAUUCAUGUAGAAUUAAAACAUUUAUUAAAAACUUAAUUAUAAUGUAGUUAAAAAAAAAUUAUCAUUUGCCUAAAAAUUUAUUAAAAAUAUAGUUAUCAUAAGGAAAGAAAUUAAACUCCUCUUUAUUUAUAGAAAAUCUCAGUUAUUGAAGAUUCACAAAUUGUAUUAUCUCCUCAUCCAAUCCCCAGUUCCAGUGAGGUGUUUACUUUGUAUGAUGAGGUAUUUAAUUUAAAUACGAAUUAUAUGAUAACUUUUGAAAGAAAUAAAUUAUGAUUAUGAGGUUAAUUAAAUAUUUCCAACCUUUAUUAAAAACUUAAUUAUAAUGUAGUUAAGAAUAAAAUGACCAUUUGACUAAAAUUUUAUUAAAAAUAUAGUUUUUCAUAAGUAAACAAAUUAUACUCUUUAUAGCAAAUCUCCAAUAUUGAAGAUUCACAAAUUGUAUUAUCUUCUCAUCCAAUCCCCAGUUCCAGUGAGGCGCUUACUUUGCAUGAUGAGGUAUUUAAUUUAAAUACGAAUUAUAUGAUAACUUUUGAAGAAAAUAAAUUAGGACAUUUAAAUAUUUCCAACAUUUAUUGAUUAACUUAAUUAUAAUGUAGCUAAGAAUAAAAUGACCAUUUGGCUGAAAUUAUAUUAAAAAUAGAUUUUCAUAAGUAAACAAAUUAUACUCUUUAUUUAUUACAAAUCUCCAAUAUUGAAGAUUCACAAAUUGUAUUAUCUCCUCAUCCAAUCCCCGGUUCUAGUGAGGCACUUACUUUGCAUGAGGGAAUAAAUUAUGAGGAUAUUCAAAGUCCAAGUCUUAUUCAGCUAUACAAAAAAAAGGAACCAAAUGACCCUUUUCACUUUAUAUUAUUUAGGAUGACAAAUAUUUUGAUAAAUUUCAUAAUUGCUGUAGGCCCUUGUCAGCCAUGUACAAAUAAAUUUCAAUAUCCUGUUACUAACAAGAGGAGCAUGAAUAUAACCUAUUAUAGAAAGGUUAAUAUAGAUGGUUCCCUCAACCCCAGAAAUUGGCUAUCUUAUAGCACUACUUUAGACAAAGUCUUUUGUCUAUAUUGUAUUAUGUUUGGUGGCCCUAAGUCCAAUACUUUUUGGACUCAACAUGGGGUAAAUAAUUGGAAAAACAUAAAGCGUGACUUAGAGAGACACGAAACAUCUUCUCUUCAUAAAGAUUGUGAAUAUGCAAACAUGACUUGGCUUGCAAAUAAACGCAUUCAAGAUCAUUUGCUAUCAAAUAAGCUUGAUAUAAUCAUGGAAAAUCCCUUUUGGGGUUCUAAUUCGAAUGAAGGUAAUUUUAUGUGUCUCAUAAAAUUAAUGGCAAAAACGGUUCCAACUUUACGUGCAUACAUGGAUAACAACGAAAAAUUGCGGAGAAAAAAAUCAGAUAAAAUUUCGAGACCUUAUAUAAAUUUACUGUCAUAUGGCCACGUGAAAAAAAUAACUGAAAUUAUUAAGAUAAAAAUAACAAAAAGCAUUAUUCAAACAAUUAAAGAGAAUCGUGCCUAUAGCAUCAUAUUAGAUGGAACAUAUGAUGUGUCUAAAAAAGAAUGCAUAGCUUUGCUUGUACGGUAUAUAGAAGAUGAUCUGCAUCCAUAUCCUGUAGAAAGGAUCAUACAUGUUUUUACAACAUCAGAAACCACUGGGGAAAAUAUAAAGAAACAUGUUUUUUCUAAGUUUAAUGAUCUUGGUCUUCCUCUUGAUUAUUUGGUUGGACAAAGUAUGGAUGGUGCAGGGAAUAUGAGAGGAGUAUACAAAGGAAUGCAGGCUUUAAUAUUGAAAGAGGCUCCAAAAGCCAUCUAUAUUUGGUGCCAUGCACAUCGGCUAAAUUUAGUAGUUGCUCAUGUUUGUGGAUGCAAAAUUGAAAUGAAAAAGGCAAUGGGAAUAUUAGAUGAGUUAUAUAAUUUUAUGAAUGGAGUUAGACGUCAAGGUGUGUUUGUUAAAUAUCAAAUGAGAAAGUCCAAGAAAUCUCUUAAAAGAAUUAAAAACACAACAAGAAAUUGGUCAUCAUCCUACAAAUCUGUAGAAAUCUUUUUAGAUGUUUAUGAACAUAUUUUAGCAUCAUUAGUUGAAUUAAAAGAUUCUAAUGACCCAAGCACCUCUUCCAUUGCCGAUGGGUUAUUAUCAAGAAUUAAAGAUGAAAAUUUUAUAUUAAGUCUUUUUAUUUUGAAAGAAAUAUUGAAAUGUACACAUGAGGCUUGUAUUGAAAUGCAGGCAGUUGGUAAUGAUUUGGCUUUGGUAACCAAAUUAAUACAACAUACAAAAAAUAAAUUACAAAAACUAAAAGCUAAUGGAGACAAUAUAUUUUUAAAAUUACAUUCCUUAUCUAAUAGUUUUUUGAAAAAGAAUAAUGUAAUAACUGAUUUGUAUAAUAUGAAAUCAAUAUUCAAAUUGGAUCAAACAGAAUUCAAUAAUUAUGUUGAACAAAAAAAAACAAAUAUAGAACGGAAAUAUUUUUCCCUGUUCUAAAUGCAAUAAUUAAUCACCUAAAUGAUCGAUUUAAUUAUGAUUGUUUAAAUUUUUUAUCACAGAUAUCCAUUUUUACUCCCGCUGGAAUUAUGGAUAAUGAAAAAAUAGAAGGAUGGCAAAUAUCCGAAAUUUGUAAUACUUAUCAAUUGGAUGUCCAAAACAUUGUUGAUGAAUAUAAUGAUUUUCGCUCUUUAUAUUUGGAGUCUCAAUCAAUCAUUUUUUGCGAAGAUCUUUUAAAAGUUAAAAAGAAUGACGCGUUAUAUAUUGAUGAAAGUAUUGCAAACGAUCAAAUUACCAAAGAAAAUAUCAACAGCGAAAUCAUGACCAAAAUAAAAAAAUGGAUAAAAUUUUCUUUUAUAUUACCAUACCGACUUUUAAAUCAAUUAAAUUCUUAUUCAAAUUUAAAUUUAUUAUAUAAAUAUUUAUUAACCCUUCCUACAACUUCCUGUUCAGCCGAAAGAGCCAUGAGUAAAGUAAAAAUUAACAAAACUCGAAUGCGGAAUAAAAUUUCGGACCCAUUUUUGGAAAAUUUACUGUUAAUAUCCAGCGAAAUUGAUGUUUUUGAAAAAUUUACAAUUGAUGAUAUUAUAACACAAUUUGCUUUAACAUCAAUAAGGUUAUCCAAAUUAUUAAUAAAAUAAUUAAUGUAUCUUUUUCACAGCGAAUAU